UACGGAAGGUCCGGGCGUUAUCCGGAUUUAUUGGGUUUAAAGGGAGCGCAGGCCGUAGAUUAAGCGUGACGUGAAAUGCCGCGGCUCAACCGUGGAAGUGCGUCGCGAACUGGUUUACUUGAGUGGGUACGACGCUGGCGGAAUUUGUGGUGUAGCGGUGAAAUGCUUAGAUAUCACGAAGAACCCCGAUUGCGAAGGCAGCUGGCGAGUCCCUUACUGACGCUAAUGCUCGAAGGUGCGGGUAU
rnacentral:rRNA from 1 species